GGGGGAGGCUGGAUCCUGGGCUGUGUCCCGGCGCCCUGUGCUCCGGGGCCUGCGCUGUUGGAUUCGCGCUCCCGCCCCCGAGUCCCCC
rnacentral:pre_miRNA from 1 species